rnacentral:piRNA from 1 species
GUGCCUUUAACUCCGUUCAGAAC